ACCGUGGGCAUGGGCCAUGGCAUGGGCAAGCUUAGGCAACAGCCAUGGGCAUGGGCUGUACAAGCAUGACCUGUGCAUGGGCAACCCAUGGCAACGGGAGUGGGUAUACGUGCGCGCCUAGGAUUUCUCAUGCCAUGGCCCAUGCCCACGGCAGUUGCCUGGAUUGCCCACGGGGGUUGCCCACGAUUGCCUAUGCACACGCUUUCCCACGCCGUGGCCCAUGCAAUGGCCACGGCUUGCCCGUGCCCCAUCUUGAAACACGGACCAAGGAGUCUGACAUAUGCACGAGUCAAUGGGGGAUUAAACCCGUAAGGUGCAAGGAAGUGACCGGCGCGAUCCCCCCGAGGGAUGCACCAUCGACCGACCUUGAUCUUCUGAGAAGGGUUCGAGUGAGUGUAACUGUUGGGACCUGAAAGAUGGUGAACUAUGCCUGAGCGGGGCGAAGCCAGAGGAAACUCUGGUGGAGGCACGCAGUGAUACUGACGUACAAAUCGUUUGUCUGACUUGGGUAUAGGGGCAAAAGACUAAUCGAACCGUCUAGUAGCUGGUUCCCUUCGAAGUUUCCCUCAGGAUAGCUGGAGCUCUAGUGCGGGUUCUAUUGGGUAAAGCCAAUGAUUAGAGGCAUCGGGGGCGCAACGCCCUCGACCUAUUCUCAAACUUUAAAUAGGUAGGAUGGCGCGGUUGCUCCAUUGAGCCGCGCCGGAGAAUCAUGAGCUCCAAGUGGGCCAUUUUUGGUAAGCAGAACUGGCGAUGCGGGAUGAAUCGGAAGCCAAGUUAUGAUGCCCAACUGCGCGCUAACCUAGAUCCGACAAAGGGUGUUGGUCGAUUAAGACAGCAGGACGGUGGUCAUGGAAGUCGAAAUACGCUAAGUAGCCCAAAAAAUGGAUGGCGCUGAAGUGCGCGACCUAUACCCGACCGUCGGGGCAAGGGCCAGGCCCCGAUGAGUAGGAGGGCGCAGCGGUCGCUGCAAAACCCUGGGUGAGAGCCCGGGCAGAGCGGCCGUCGGUGCGGAUCUUGGUGGUAGUAGUAAAUAUUCAAAUGAGAACUUUGAAGGCCGAAGUGGGGAAAGGUUCCAUGUGAACGACACUUGCACAUGAGUUAGUCGAUCCUAAGGGUCGGGGGAAGCCCGACAGACAGCGCGUUCAGCGCGUGCUCCGAAAGGGAAUCAGGUUAAAAUUCCCGAACUGGGACGCGGCAGUUAACGGCUAUGUUAGGGAGUCCAGAGACAUCGGCGGGGGCCUCGAGAAGAGUUAUCUUUUCUGUUUAACAACCCACCCACCCUGGAAAUGGCUUAGUUGGAGAUAGGGUCCAGCAGCUGGAAAAGCACUGCACGUCGCGUGGUGUCCGGUGCGCCCCCGGUGGGCCUUAAAAAUCUGAUGGACCGAGUAUCGUCCGCGCCCAGUCGUACUCAUAACCGCAUCAGGUCUCCAAGGUGAACAUCCUCUGGUCGAUGGAACAAUGUAGGCAAGGGAAGUCGGCAAAAUGGAUCCGUAACCUCGGGAAAAAGAUUGGCUCUGAGUGCUAGGCAUGGGGGUCCCAGUCCCGAACCCAUCGGUUGUCGGCGAACUGCUUGAGCUGCUCGCGCGGCGAGAGUGGGUCAUCACGUGUCGGUCGGGGGACAGACUGGGAACGGCUUCCUCGGGGCCUUCCCCGGGCAUCGAACAGUCGACUCAGAACUGGUACGUACAAGGGGAAUCUGACUGUUUAAUUAAAACAAAGUGAUUUCUAUCCAGUGUUUAAUUCGACAGUCGAUGGUCCCUGCGGAUGCUCACGCAAUGUGAUUUCUGCCCAGUGUUCUGAAUAUCAAAGUGAAGAAAUUCAACCAAGCGCGGGUAAACGGUGGGAGUAACUAUGACUCUCUUAAGUAGCCAAAUGCCUCGUCAUCUAAUUAGUGACGCGCAUGAAUGGAUAAACGAGAUUCCCACUGUCCCUGUCUACUAUCCAGCGAAACCACAGCCAAGGGAACAGGCUUGGCGGAAUCAGCGGGGAAAGAAGACCCUGUUGAGCUUGACUCUAGUCCGACUUUGUGAAAUGACUUGAGAGGUGUAGGAUAACUAGGAGCCGAAAGGCGAAAGUGAAAUACCACUACUUUUAACGUUAUUUUACUUAUUAUGUGAAUCGGAGGCGGGGCAUCGUCCUUCUUUUUGGACACAAGGCUCGCCUCGGCAGGCCGAUCCGGGCGGAAGACAUUGUCAUGUAGGGAGUUUGGCUGGGGCGGCAUAUCUGUUAAAAGAUAACACAUGUGUACUAAGAUGAGCUCAACGAGAACAGAAAUCUCGUGUGAAACAUAAGGGUAAAAGCUCAUUUGAUUCUGAUUUCCAGUACGAAUACGAAUCGUGAAAGCGUGGCCUAACGAUCCUUUAGACCUUCGGAAUUUGUGGCUAAAGGUGUUAGAAAAGUUACCACAGGGAUAACUAGCUUGUGGCAGCCAAGCGUUCUUAGCGACGUUGCUUUUUUUAUCCUUCGAUGGCGGCACAUCUUCCAAUAUGGAAAGUGAGCUGGGUUUAGCCGUCGUGAGAUAGGUUAGUUUUACCAUACUGAUGAUGGUGUCACAAUAGUAAUUCAACCUAGUACGAGAUGAACUGUUGAUUCGCACAAUUGGUCAUCGCACUUGGUUGAAAAGCCAGUGGCGCGAAGCUACCGUGCGCUGGAUUAUGAUUGAACGCCUCUAAGUCAUAAUCUGAGCUAGACGCGAUGCAUGCGCCCGCCGUCCACUCUCCGACCCGCAGUAGGGGCCCCAGGCCCCCAAGGGCACGUGUCGUUGGCCAAGACCCCGCAGUGGACGAGCCGCGUGGGCCGCCUUGAAGUGCAAUUCCAAUCGAGCGGCGGGAAUAAU
rnacentral:rRNA from 1 species